GUGUUGCUUGUCAGGGAAGCUACCGUUUGCUGAACUCUGCUUUGCUUGUUUGCUGUGGGCCAUCAACUCAGAACUGACCUCUAGGGACCCUAACAGGGUUUUCGAGUUGGAGGGGUGGAGAGAAGAAAGAAGGUGAGGGAAACAGCAGGGUGAAGUUGGUACCUACCCCUCUACCUGGCACCUCACUGUCUGCUCCGGAUCUCACCCUGUUCCCCACAGCUUCUUGAUUUCCCAUGUGCGCAGUGGGCUGCAGAAGAAAAAGAGAGACAGAGAAGCUCCAUGCUGUGGACGUGAAGUUUGUUUUGUUGAUGUCGGGAAAGGAUCCCAAGAAUGUCAGUCCGGCUUCUUCUCCUGGGACUUUGUCCACAUAAUGUCCUCCCUGGGGGUUCUCUGUUGUUUUGUUGGUGGUGAUUUGAAUGCUUUUGAAUUGGCUGUCCCAGUAUUUGCCUCCAGAUAUGUGAAGGCAGUUGCAAUAGGAGGGGCUGCUACAUCCUGUCCGUUCAGGCUUUCUGUCGUAAAUGUGUACUGGGAAAAGUACUAGUAUCAUGGGAGAAAACAAAAGGGAAUGAAUGCUCAGUGUGGAUGAGCUUUCAGGAAAAAUAUGUAUGGAAUUAAGAGCUUUGGAAUUAACUUAGGAAAAAUAUGUACAGUGGGGUCUUGACUUAAGAACGGCUUGAGUUAAGAACAUUUUGACUUAAGAACCACUCUCAUAGGAAAAUAUUGACUUGACUUACAUACUUAGAUUUGAGUUAAGAACUGAAAAAAACCACGUGGGAGGCAGGGAAAGUGCAAAAUUUGAACUUUCAGUUAACUGUUGGCCAGUGAAAAAGGGUGCCUGUCUGCUUCCUCACUCCUCCCAGCGUUUAGAGAGUGGAUUGGGAGACAGUCUUCAGACUGCCUGGUACUGGACUGCCUGGACUGUAUUUUCCCUGCCUUCCCUGAACCUUUCUUGACCUAAGAAAAAAAGAAACAAAAUAUCCCCCUCUAGUGGUCGAAGGCAGAAUAGCAGCUUCCCAUUAGUUUCUAUGGACGGAAAAGAGCAGAUACGGAUCAAAUGGUUUUCAAUGCAUUCCUAUGGGAAAUGCAGAUUUGACCUGAGAACUUUUUGACUUGAGAACCGCCUUCCAAUACGGAUUAAGUUCUCAAGUCAAGACCCCACUGUAUGGAAUUAAGAGCUUUGGAAUUAACUUGUUACAAACAGCUAACUGUUCAUUAUUUCCUUUUGUUAAUAACAAAGGUAUGCAGGCUAGAUAUGAGUUAGGUAUAUGGCUCUGGAGCCAGAGGUUGGGAGAUUGAUGCCCCACUGUGCAUCCCAAGAGGAGAGCCAACCUCGGUAGCCUUGGGCAAGCAGGGAACAGUAAACCAUUUCUGAGUACUCCAUACCUUGAAAACCCUGGAAAAGGUUUCCUUGACUUAGGAUUGACUUGAUAGCAUGUAAUUGUGAUUAAUAUAGUAAAUUACUCCUGUAGCUAAAUGAGAAAGAACUUCAUUCCUUGGUGAACUGCAACAAAACCAACACAGAUUCUUGUAGCACCCUGAAGACUCACAGUUUAUUUGGCAGGAAGUUUUCUGAGCUGUAUCCUACAGCUUUGGAUGUGUGGAGUGUAGCCUCAGCAGGCAGACGUACAUACACAUUUGUGGAAACACAGGAAUGUGAACUCUUAAUAUAUUGCAUAAGGUCCAGCAUGGUGAUGGUUCUAAUGGUGCCGUUAAGUGCCAUUUAACAGUCCUUGGGAGGUGACUAAUACAGAUUUUAAUUGUGGUUAAAAGUCAUUCAAGGGGCUCACAUGGAUGAUAAGUAUAUCCCAGGAUAGAUAAGCAGAUUAAGAAAUAUUUUGUGGAGGAAAGUCAUUUUUUAAGGUUGCGAACAGACGGCGAGAAAUGGUCACCCUUGAUCAUACCAAAAAGGAUCACUUUGCUGGAAGCAAUCUCCCAUAAAGGGAAUCAAUACAGCCCACCCUUCCAAAAAGAGCAGCCCUUUCACUCAACCAAAAAAAGUCCACCUUGGGAAUGGAUUGAGGUUAGGCUGGAUUGCUAUUGUCCAUCUGUUGUGUGAUCGCCAAGAAACUGCUCACACCAGACUGUCACAAGCAGUCCAAAAUCCGAACUAUUUCUCUGUCUGACCACACCCUAAGCAUAAAAGAGGUUCACUCAGCCAUGUACACAGUCUGUGCAUGAUUCAAGGUGAAGGCAAGGAAUGCAAAAAUGACAGGUAGACAAAACAGUCCAAAUGUUCUCCUACAGCACAUGAUGGUUGGGUUGUAGCACAAACAUCCUUUCACAGAUGAGGUGAUUGACUUCUAUAGUGAGAUUAAAAGUCUUUGUCCCUCUCCCAAGGAAGAUGGAGCUGAACACACUGAUGUUUUCCUGUUCAGCUGUUUCCUUCUGGAAUUAUCUUGUGCUGGAACUCUGAUGUUUUAAGCUACAGAAGGAUCCUGUAUCUGUGAAAUUGAUAUCCAUGGUUUCAUUUGGCCGCGGUCUAUAAGUAUUAAAAAUAUUACAAUAAAAAACUAGAAAAACGUAUUUUCA
ensembl:lncRNA